rnacentral:rRNA from 1 species
UACAGAGGGUGCGAGCGUUAAUCGGAAUUACUGGGCGUAGAGCGCGCGUAGGCGGCUUUGCAAGUCGAGUGUGAAAUCCCCAGGCUCAACCUGGGAACUGCAUUCGAGACUGCAUAGCUAGAGUAUGGGAGAGGGAAGUGGAAUUUCAGGUGUAGCGGUGAAAUGCGUAGAUAUCUGGAGGAAUACCGGUGGCGAAGGCGGCAUCCUGGACCGACAUUGACGCUGAGGAGCGAAAGCGUGGGGAGCAAACAGG